AUGGGCAUUCGCUUAUCUGUCAAAAUCGGCCGGUUACAUGUUUAUCUUUCGAAAGUAAAUCACUAUAAUUUAAUAAUUGUUUCUCUUCAUAUUGGCAUAUUGUAGCAGUGAUGAUAGUGAUAUGGAAUUAUUUCAAAUGAUAAUGGAUUGUGAUGCAGAUAGUGAUAGUGAGGCCGAUAUCAUAUGGUUAGGAAAAUAAAGAUCGUCUGAAUUACAUGGCGAAGAUCAAUAAUUACGAAUUUGACUAUAGAUUUCUGAGCAAAGGUGUUGUGAAUGAAUUGAUUAAUUUAAUGAGACCAUAUUUGAGUGUAACGUCAAAAAGAUUCAAAUAUAGGAGAGGAAUUUAGAAAUAGAAAAAGAGUAUUUUGAAUGUGUAAUUUGUGUGCAAUGCAUCAUUGAUGUUUCAAAAUGUUGUUGCUUGAUGGCCUGGGUCUACUCAUGAUACAACUAUAAUUAACCAUUCCGAUUGAAAAGAUGCAUUGGUGUUUGUAAAAGAAGACUCCCUGUAUAUCAUUGAAAAGUAGAUUAAAACUAGAAAAUAUGCAAGCUGUUAUUAUAGCUGCCAUGCUGCAUAAUAUCGUCAGAAGUAUGAAUUUAGAAGAAUUAGAAUCAGAAAUUUCAGUCGCAGAUACAUUACAGGAAAAUAAUAUAAUUGUUCGUAACAAUUUUUCAAAACUUACAUCUGAAAUACAACUAUGUACUUAUAAAUAAUUGCUUCCAAAGAUAAUUUAUAAAAUAAACUCCAAAGAUAA